rnacentral:rRNA from 1 species
UACGUAGGGGGCUAGCGUUGUCCGGAUUUAUUGGGCGUAAAGAGCGUGUAGGCGGCCAGGUAGGUCUGCUGUGAAAACUCGAGGCUCAACCUCGAGACGUCGGCGGAAACCAUCUGGCUAGAGUCCGGAAGAGGAGAAUGGAAUUCCCGGUGUAGCGGUGAAAUGCGCAGAUAUCAGGAGGAACACCGAUGGCGAAGGCAGGUCUCUGGGCCACUACUGACGCUGAGAAGCGAAAGCAUGGGGAGCGAACAGG